UGGGGGAUAUUGCACAAUGGAGGAAACUCUGAUGCAGCAACGCCGCGUGAGGGAAGAAGGUCUUCGGAUUGUAAACCUUAGUAGUCAGGGACGAAAGAAAUGACGGUACCUGAAGAGUAAGCUCCGGCUAACUACGUGCCAGCAGCCGCGGUAAUACGUAGGGAGCGAGCGUUGUCCGGAUUUACUGGGUGUAAAGGGUGCGUAGGCGGGACUGCAAGUCAGACGUGAAAUACCGGGGCUUAACCUCGGGGCUGCGUUUGAAACUGCGGUUCUUGAGUGAAGUAGAGGCGGGCGGAAUUCCUAGUGUAGCGGUGAAAUGCGUAGAUAUUAGGAGGAACACCAGUGGCGAAGGCGGCCUGCUGGGCUUUAACUGACUCUGAAGCACGAAAGCAUGGGGAGCAAACA
rnacentral:rRNA from 1 species